GAUGAACGCUGGCGGCGUGCCUAAUACAUGCAAGUCGAGCGAUCAGACGAGGAUCUUUGUGCGCUUACGUUAGCGGCGGACGGGUGAGUAACACGUGAAUAACCUUCCUAUAUGACUGGGAUAACUGCGGGAAACCGGAGCUAAUACCGGAUAAUAUAUCCAACUGGAUGGUUUUAGAGUGAAAUAUGGGUUUUCGGUCACCUAUAGAUGUAUCCGCGCGGUAUUAGCUAGUUGGUAAGGUAACGACUUACCAAGUCAACGAUGCGUAGCCGACCGGAGAGGGGGAUAGGCGGCACUGGAGCUGAGACGCGGUCCAGACGCCUGCGGGAGGGCGCAGUAGGGAAUGUUCCGCAGUGGGCGAGAGCAUGACGGAGCAACGCCGAGUGAGAGGUGGCGGUGUUGGGAUCGUAAAGCUCUGUUAUUGGGGAAGAACCAAUUUGUAAGUAACUAUGCACGUCUUGACGGUACCUGAUGAGGAAGCCACGGCUAACUACGUG
rnacentral:rRNA from 1 species